AGACGGCUUAUUGUCAGGGUGCAGAAACACAACUAAUUUUGAUGAGAAACCGAAGCUGAGUAUUAUUUAAGGAACUUGCCUAAAGUCACAAAAUUGGAAUUUGUUGGAAUCAGAGAGGAACAAACCUGGAGAUUCUGACCUGGGGCAGAUAUCCACAGGCCAGAUAGCAUUUGCAAGAGUCUCCCCAAGGGAAGAUGGUAAGGAGAAU